AUUAAUUAGCCCAUCUCAUAAUUAACUACUCCAUAUUAUACUACUAAACCUAAUUUUUUCUCUCUCCCAUCGCCGCUAUCUUCUUCAAUCUUCCCCUCUGUAUUUUCCCUUUUCUGUAUUUUCGUUUUCAGUGGUUGCAUCUCCAAAUUUUCUGCACAAGUUCUUCAACCAUCUACAACUCUCUAUAAUCAGGAAGGACUCAAUUGCAAUUUCGGAUGAGUUUUGCGUCGAGCUACAGUGCUACUGCAAAGAUGGAGUAAUACUGUUCAAAAACACAAAAAAGGACAAUUUGGGAUGCGUUUUCGAGUAUGAUUGGAGGUGUUUUUCACUGCAAAAUUGCAUUUUGACGAAUCGUUGGAGAUGCCCAUAGGUUAGUUCAUGCAAGUAUUUAAGUCUCACCGUUCCAAAUUAAAGCAUGGUUGCAACCUCCUCUAGCGUGUGGAAACUUCUAAAAGAAUGCAUGUGAAUGACACGCACAACCAGGCACUUCAAAAGACAACUUAAGUUAGUAUUGUGACAAUAACUCUGUAGUGUUGUAUUCCUAUAACAACAGAAGCUCUGUGAAGUCUAAGCAUGAGAUAAAGUUCCUUUUCGUGAAAGAGGGGGUUCAAACUGGACAAAUAUUUAUAGAGCAUAUAGGAAGAUUUGAUCUCACUAAGGGAUUACCACCCAAAGUAUUUCAUUUGAAUACAACCCAAAUGGGUGUUAUGUUAUUUGAGAAAACUUCUGUUUAGUGGGAUUAAAUUUUGUUAUAUUGCUCUAUAUUAUGGUUUCAGACAUAUUGUUAUGUAACUAAAGUUAUUUUAUAUGGAAUUAAAGUUUGUUUUGUCUA